rnacentral:rRNA from 1 species
UACGUAGGGUGCGAGCGUUAAUCGGAAUUACUGGGCGUAAAGUGUGCGCAGGCGGCCGCGCAAGUCGAGUGUGAAAGCCCCGGGCUUAACUUGGGAAUUGCGCUCGAAACUACGUGGCUGGAGUGUGGCAGAGGAAGGUGGAAUUCCACGUGUAGCGGUGAAAUGCGUAGAGAUGUGGAGGAACACCAAUGGCGAAGGCAGC